rfam:Myotis davidii contig144824, whole genome shotgun sequence.
GGUGGUUCUCAGGUGACACACCCUAGAAUCGGGCUCCCUCCUAUCUGGUUACAGGUGCAUCACCCCAAAACCACA